UACGGGGGGAGCAAGCGUUGUUCGGAUUUACUGGGCGUAAAGGGCGGGUAGGCGGCCACCGCAAGUCAGUUGUGAAAUCUCCGGGCUUAACCCGGAAAGGUCAACUGAUACUGCGGGGCUAGAGUGCAGAAGGGGCAACUGGAAUUCUCGGUGUAGCGGUGAAAUGCGUAGAGAUCGGGAGGAACACCGGCGGCGAAGGCGGCUGCCUGGACCAGUCCUGACGCUGAGGCGCGAAAGCUAGGGGAGCAAACAGG
rnacentral:rRNA from 1 species